rnacentral:rRNA from 3 species
UUAAGCGACUAAGCGUACACGGUGGAUGCCCUGGCAGUCAGAGGCGAUGAAGGACGUGCUAAUCUGCGAAAAGCGUCGGUAAGGUGAUAUGAACCGUUACAGCCGGCGAUGUCCGAAUGGGGAAACCCAGUGUGAUUCGUCACACUAUCGUUAACUGAAUACAUAGGUUAACGAGGCGAACCGGGGGAACUGAAACAUCUAAGUACCCCGAGGAAAAGAAAUCAACCGAGAUUCCCCCAGUAGCGGCGAGCGAACGGGGAGCAGCCCAGAGUCUGAAUCAGCUUGUGUGUUAGUGGAACGGUCUGGAAAGUCCGACGGUACAGGGUGAUAGUCCCGUACACCAAAAUGCACAGGCUGUGAACUCGAAGAGUAGGGCGGGACACGUGGUAUCCUGUCUGAAUAUGGGGGGACCAUCCUCCAAGGCUAAAUACUCCUGACUGACCGAUAGUGAACCAGUACCGUGAGGGAAAGGCGAAAAGAACCCCGGCGAGGGGAGUGAAAAAGAACCUGAAACCGUGUACGUACAAGCAGUGGGAGCACCUUCGGGUGUGACUGCGUACCUUUUGUAUAAUGGGUCAGCGACUUAUAUUCUGUAGCAAGGUUAACCGUAUAGGGGAGCCGCAGGGAAACCGAGUCUUAACUGGGCGUUAAGUUGCAGGGUAUAGACCCGAAACCCGGUGAUCUAGCCAUGGGCAGGUUGAAGGUUGGGUAACACUAACUGGAGGACCGAACCGACUAAUGUUGAAAAAUUAGCGGAUGACUUGUGGCUGGGGGUGAAAGGCCAAUCAAACCGGGAGAUAGCUGGUUCUCCCCGAAAGCUAUUUAGGUAGCGCCUCGUGAAUUCAUCUUCGGGGGUAGAGCACUGUUUCGGCUAGGGGGUCAUCCCGACUUACCAACCCGAUGCAAACUACGAAUACCGAAGAAUGUUAUCACGGGAGACACACGGCGGGUGCUAACGUCCGUCGUGAAGAGGGAAACAACCCAGACCGCCAGCUAAGGUCCCAAAGUCAUGGUUAAGUGGGAAACGAUGUGGGAAGGCACAGACAGCCAGGAUGUUGGCUUAGAAGCAGCCAUCAUUUAAAGAAAGCGUAAUAGCUCACUGGUCGAGUCGGCCUGCGCGGAAGAUGUAACGGGGCUAAACCAUGCACCGAAGCUGCGGCAGCGACACUAUGUGUUGUUGGGUAGGGGAGCGUUCUGUAAGCCUGCGAAGGUGACCUGUGAGGGUUGCUGGAGGUAUCAGAAGUGCGAAUGCUGACAUAAGUAACGAUAAAGCGGGUGAAAAGCCCGCUCGCCGGAAGACCAAGGGUUCCUGUCCAACGUUAAUCGGGGCAGGGUGAGUCGACCCCUAAGGCGAGGCCGAAAGGCGUAGUCGAUGGGAAACAGGUUAAUAUUCCUGUACUUGGUGUUACUGCGAAGGGGGGACGGAGAAGGCUAUGUUAGCCGGGCGACGGUUGUCCCGGUUUAAGCAUGUAGGCUGGUUGUCCAGGCAAAUCCGGAUAAUCAAGGCUGAGGUGUGAUGACGAGGCACUACGGUGCUGAAGUAACAAAUGCCCUGCUUCCAGGAAAAGCCUCUAAGCAUCAGGUAACAUCAAAUCGUACCCCAAACCGACACAGGUGGUCAGGUAGAGAAUACCAAGGCGCUUGAGAGAACUCGGGUGAAGGAACUAGGCAAAAUGGUGCCGUAACUUCGGGAGAAGGCACGCUGGUGUGUAGGUGAAGUCCCUGCGGAUGGAGCUGAGACCAGUCGAAGAUACCAGCUGGCUGCAACUGUUUAUUAAAAACACAGCACUGUGCAAACACGAAAGUGGACGUAUACGGUGUGACGCCUGCCCGGUGCCGGAAGGUUAAUUGAUGGGGUUAUCCGUAAGGAGAAGCUCUUGAUCGAAGCCCCGGUAAACGGCGGCCGUAACUAUAACGGUCCUAAGGUAGCGAAAUUCCUUGUCGGGUAAGUUCCGACCUGCACGAAUGGCGUAAUGAUGGCCAGGCUGUCUCCACCCGAGACUCAGUGAAAUUGAACUCGCUGUGAAGAUGCAGUGUACCCGCGGCAAGACGGAAAGACCCCGUGAACCUUUACUAUAGCUUGACACUGAACAUUGAGCCUUGAUGUGUAGGAUAGGUGGGAGGCUUUGAAGCGUGGACGCCAGUCUGCGUGGAGCCAACCUUGAAAUACCACCCUUUAAUGUUUGAUGUUCUAACGUUGGCCCCUUACCGGGGUUGCGGACAGUGUCUGGUGGGUAGUUUGACUGGGGCGGUCUCCUCCCAAAGCGUAACGGAGGAGCACGAAGGUUAGCUAAUCCUGGUCGGACAUCAGGAGGUUAGUGCAAUGGCAUAAGCUAGCUUGACUGCGAGCGUGACGGCGCGAGCAGGUGCGAAAGCAGGUCAUAGUGAUCCGGUGGUUCUGAAUGGAAGGGCCAUCGCUCAACGGAUAAAAGGUACUCCGGGGAUAACAGGCUGAUACCGCCCAAGAGUUCAUAUCGACGGCGGUGUUUGGCACCUCGAUGUCGGCUCAUCACAUCCUGGGGCUGAAGUAGGUCCCAAGGGUAUGGCUGUUCGCCAUUUAAAGUGGUACGCGAGCUGGGUUUAGAACGUCGUGAGACAGUUCGGUCCCUAUCUGCCGUGGGCGCUGGAGAAUUGAGGGGGGCUGCUCCUAGUACGAGAGGACCGGAGUGGACGCAUCACUGGUGUUCGGGUUGUCAUGCCAAUGGCACUGCCCGGUAGCUAAAUGCGGAAGAGAUAAGUGCUGAAAGCAUCUAAGCACGAAACUUGCCCCGAGAUGAGUUCUCCCUGAGACUUUAAGUCUCCUGAAGGAACGUUAAAGACGAUGACGUUGAUAGGCCGGGUGUGUAAGCGCAGCGAUGCGUUGAGCUAACCGGUACUAAUGAACCGUGAGGCUUAACCUU